rnacentral:rRNA from 1 species
CCCUUAGAUGUUCUGGGCCGCACGCGCGCUACACUGAUACGUUCAACGAGUCCAAAACCUUGAUUGAUAGGUCUGGGUAAUCUUUUGAAUACGUAUCGUGCUAGGGAUAGAUUAUUGCAAUUAUUAAUCUUCAACGAGGAAUUCCUAGUAAGCGCGAGUCAUCAGCUCGCGUUGAUUACGUCCCUGCCCUUUGUACACACCGCCCGUCGCUCCUACCGAUUGAAUGGUCCGGUGAAAUCUUCGGAUUGCUGACCAAGAUCCAGCAAUGGAGCUUGGUUGCGAGAAGUUGAUUAAACCUUAUUAUUUAGAGGAAGGAGAAGUCGUAACA